rnacentral:rRNA from 1 species
CCCUUAGAUGUCCGGGGCCGCACGCGCGCUACACUGAAGGAAUCAGCGUGGCUUUCUCCCUGACCCGAAAGGGUUGGGAAACCCGUUGAAUCUCCUUCGUGAUAGGGAUUGGGGCUUGAAAUUGUUCCCCAUGAACGAGGAAUUCCCAGUAAGCGCGAGUCAUAAGCUCGCGUUGAUUACGUCCCUGCCCUUUGUACACACCGCCCGUCGCUACUACCGAUUGAACGGUUUAGUGAGGUCUUCGGAUUGGCGCCACUGCGGCUCAGCAAUGGGCUCGGUGGAUGCCGAAAAGUUGAUCAAACUUGAUCAUUUAGAGGAAGUAAAAGUCGUAACA